AAAAAAAAAAAAAAGAUUCACUUUUUCUCUCUUUAUUUUCUGUUUCACUUUCUACUUAUAAUCGUACUGGUUCUCUUUUGAUUCAGUUUUCAAUUUUUUUUUAACAUGUUUGAGGAAUCAGCUUCAGCUCUUCGUAUAUGAAGCUUUCCCCUGUUUUCAAAUUCUCAUUUGUUUUACGAACUUAGAAUCAUCAAAAUUAAGGGUUUGAAUUCGAUAAAGGAAUCAUUCCGUAAUCUUAGGAAGAAAGAAUUUAGCGGAGUUUCGGGACCAUGAAUCCGUAUUUUCCGGUGAAGGAAGAGUACCCGAACUCGAGUUAUUCACAGUCCGACGAUGACCCGCCGCUGAUGAUGAUGGGGCCGCCGCCACCCCAGCCGAUGGAGAGUCUUCGCGAUUCAGGGCCACCGCCAUUCCUCACGAAGACCUUUGACAUUGUUGAUGAUCCUAGCACUAAUUACAUAGUUUCGUGGAGCAGAGGAGGUAGCAGCUUUGUUGUGUGGGAUCCUCACGCUUUCUCCACUAAUCUUCUUCCUCGAUAUUUCAAGCACAAUAAUUUCUCUAGUUUCGUUAGGCAACUCAAUACUUACGGUUUUAGAAAGACUGAUCCAGAUAAAUGGGAGUUUGCCAAUGAAGGGUUCCUUAGAGGCCAUAAGCAUCUGCUGAAGAACAUUAGGAGAAGAAAGACCACAUCUCAGCCCCCACCAUCUCAGCAACCUUUAGGUCCUUGUGUUGAAGUUGGCAGAUUUGGGGUAGAUGGGGAAGUUGGUCGAUUGAAGCGGGACAAGCAGGUGUUAAUGAUGGAAUUAGUGAAGCUAAGACAACAGCAACAAAGCACUCGAGCUUAUAUUGAAGCCAUGGAAGAAAGGUUACAAGGCACUGAAAAGAAGCAGCAACAAAUGAUGUCUUUCUUGGCUAGAGCUAUGCAGAAUCCAGCUUUCCUCCGGCAGUUGAUGCAACAGAAGGAGAAAAGGAAGGAGCUCGAAGAAGCCAUGUCGAAGAAAAGGCGACGGCCGAUCGAUCAACGACAUGUAGGCCAAUCGAGCCGAGGUAGCGAGGGGAUAAAUCCGGUUAAAACUGAACCUCCGGAGUAUGGUGAAUACGGAUACCAAGUGACAGAGUUGGAAGCAUUGGCACUGGAAAUGCAAGGGUAUGGUAGGGCCAGAAGGGAGCAAGAGGAACCACAAGAUGAACUCCAACAUGGCCAUGGCCAUGACAGAGAGCUUGAUGAAGGGUUUUGGGAAGAAUUAUUGAAUGAGAGAUUUGAAGGAGAGUUGGAUAUACCUGAAGGAGGUGAAGGUGAAGAUGAAGAUGUGAAUGUAUUGGCUGACCGGUUGGGGUAUUUGGGUUCAAGUCCAAAGUAGCAAUUGCAUGUUUUUGUAGCAUUAGUUCAUAAUCUCUUAAUUUUCUGCAGAAAAAGGGUCUUGAAAAGAAACAACACAAUUAGGCCAUGAUCCAUUCACAUUGCUUUGAAUCUCUGAUGCUUUAUUUGGCAGGAUAGGGGGGGAAUUACAUUCCAAAAAAGAACCAUAUCCAGAGGAAAAUCUCUCUUUGUUCCUGGUUUCUCUUCAUCUACAAUUCCCUUUUGUAUAUCCAUUUUUCCCGCUUAUGUUUCUCUAUCUUUGGUUAGGUAUGUGCAGCUAUGUAGAUCAGAAUCUGCUGUUGUGUUCAUCGUCAUGACUUGUUUCGAGGUUCUUUCUUUACAAUUGUAGAUUUGUUCUGAAGCUGUUGAAAAUCGACAAGUUGUAGCUGCAAGUUGCAAAGAAAAAACCCGACUAAGAUUUUGCUAUUGGAAUCCAAUUCACAAUCAUCACUUGGUAGCCUUUAACCCUUUUUUUUUUUUUGUAAGUUCAAUUUCGCUGUAUUUUUGUUCGUCUCUUCCUUGGGAGACGGUGGCAAGAACCAUGGUCGGUGAUACUAGACCUUUUAAUAUCAUAUCCAACUCCAAUUAAAUUCGCAAUGAGACAGUGUUCUCACUUCAUCUAAUAAUGCUUUAAUAUCAUGAUUGAGCAUUUUUCAACAGAUCAAAUCAAACUUGGACAAUAAUGAACAAUCAUGAAGUUGUUGCAUUAGUGCCAGGACAACAUUUUUAUGGCCAAUGGCAAUUGGAUUCUGAUUGGUCGCUGUCAAAUCUUUGCACCAAAUCGCAGUGGUCUAAAUUAGGGAAUGUAAACAAACGGUUUCUCGCUGCUUGUCUUUUGAUGAUAUUGCUUUCACCAGAUGAAUUCAUGAAUUCCCUGAUAAGCACUAAAGAUUUUUUCUUUAAAAUUUUGGUUGAUGUUGUUUCUUCAAAAGUUGAAAUUUGCAGUGAGAAUUGAAUUCAUAGGAGGUUAUGGACAUAA